rnacentral:rRNA from 1 species
GACGAACGCUGGCGGCGUGCUUAACACAUGCAAGUCGAACGGAAAGGCCCUGCUUUUGUGGGGUGCUCGAGUGGCGAACGGGUGAGUAACACGUGAGUAACUUGCCCUUGACUUUGGGAUAACUUCAGGAAACUGGGGCUAAUACCGGAUAGGAGCUCCUGCUGCAUGGUGGGGGUUGGAAAGUUUCGGCGGUUGGGGAUGGACUCGCGGCUUAUCAGCUUGUUGGUGGGGUAGUGGCUUACCAAGGCUUUGACGGGUAGCCGGCCUGAGAGGGUGACCGGCCACAUUGGGACUGAGAUACGGCCCAGACUCCUACGGGAGGCAGCGGUGGGGAAUAUUGCACAAUGGGCGGAAGCCUGAUGCAGCAACGCCGCGUGCGGGAUGACGGCCUUCGGGUUGUAAACCGCUUUCGCCUGUGACGAAGCGUGAGUGACGGUAAUGGGUAAAGAAGCACCGGCUAACUACGUG